CCCAGCACCGAAGCCUGUGACAGAUUUGUUGCUAGGCAAUGUGGUGUUUGGGUCGGUUCGUGGGAUUGCCACUCCAUCCGAAAUCCAGCAUUGAGUAUGGUCACUGGAUUUGUCCCAGAGAGGGUGAAAGGCCCGUACGGGUGGAUGUUUCAGACAUGUAAGGCAAUUCACCAGGCCGGCCUUAGAGUCGGGUUGUUUGAGAAUGCAGCCCAAAGUGGGUGGUAAACUCCAUCCAAGGCUAAAUACAAGCACGAGUCCGAUAGCGAACAAGUACCGUGAGGGAAAGUUGAAAAGUACUUUGAAGAGAGAGUAAACAGUACGUGAAACCGCAUGCAGGUAAACGGGUGGCGUCAAGCUGCAAGCCCAGAGAAUUCAGCUGACUAGGGUGUUGUGUAUGUGCCUGUGCGUCAUCAGCCGGUGUAAGAUGUGAUAGUCCACUGGUAAACGGUGGGACUGGCCGCAAGGUCAGUACAUGUGUACCGGGUGUGUGCCGGAGCAUGCUAUUCGUCUGUAGGGCUGCCUAGUCAGUGCACUUUCUCUGUGGUGAACACCACGACCGGUGGAAUUGCCAGUCUGCUGUAGCCAAGUUGCGUCUAGUUGGUUCUCGUAAUCGACUGGAUGUGAUCACGGGCAUUCUCAGUGAACGGCGUAGAGGUGUUUCGGCAUCUUUGCGUGUUAUCGGCUACUGGAUGUCAACGGGCCGGCCUGAUGAUUGUUGUAAUCGUCAUCGGGUGGUCCGGUGGGCUGCGGUGGUAUGAAUAACUGUGCAAGGCACCGGGUUUCUCGACCUCUAAUGCAUCCUGCAUACACGUUACAAGUGGAGUGGGGUGCCGUUGCUACCUGGCCGUUGUUGGGUCUGAUUGUCGUGUCGCCUGCGCAAAGUGGGCUCGGCAGUGGCCUGAUGCGGGAUGGGUGGUGGAUGGUGCCUCCUGUGCGGGGUGUGGUGGGUCAUAUAGUCAGUGGUGUAGUGGUAGACGAGCUACCCGACCCGUCUUGAAACACGGACCAAGGAGUUUAACAUGUAUGCAAGUCAUGGGGUCCUACGAAACCCAAAGGCGCAGUGAAAGUGAAGCUUCGACUUGUUCUCGGAGUGAGGUGAGAUCCUGCUGUUACUCGCAUCAGCCUAUGUCAGCAUCAGGCUAAGAGCGGUGGGCGCAUCACCGGCCCGUCCCAUGAUGUGGUCCAUUGGA
rnacentral:rRNA from 1 species